rnacentral:rRNA from 1 species
UCAAAAAAAUUGAAGGAAUUAAGAGCGCACAGUGGAUGCCUUGGCACCAAGAGCCGAUGAAGGACGCAAUUAACGGCGAUACGCCACGGGGAGUUGUAAAUAAAUGAAGAUCCGUGGAUUUCCGAAUGGGGAAACCGUACGUAUAAUAACAUUAUAGUUUUUUGAUUUUCGAAUCAAAAAGGGAUACGCAGUAAGUCCU